CUGCCCAGUGAUCAGUGACAUGAUUUAACGGCCGCGGUACCCUAACCGUGCAAAGGUAGCAUAAUCAUUUGCUCUAUAAUUGAGGGCUUGUAUGAAUGGUUUGACAAGAACAAUACUGUCUCUUAAAAAUUCACUAAAAUUUGGUUUUUAGGUGAAGAAACCUAAAUAAAAUUGAAAGACAAGAAGACCCUAUCGAGCUUAAAAAAUACGUUAACUAUAUAGAAAAACUAAAAUUAACGAAAAAAUUUGGUUGGGGCGACUGAGGAACAAAUAAAGCUUCCUUUAAUAUAAAAAACUUAUAUGUGUUGAUCCAAAGUAUUUGAUUAAAAAAAUUAGUUACCGUAGGGAUAACAGCAUAAUCUUUUUAGAGAGAACAUAUCGAAAAAAAGGUUUGUGACCUCGAUGUUGGACUAGGAUAUCCUAAUAGAUUGCAGAAGUCUUUAAAGG
rnacentral:rRNA from 1 species